AAAGAGAAGCGAGACUGUGAGGUGGAGCAAAACUCAAAAACCGGUCCCAGUUCGGACUGCAGGCUGAAACUCGCCUGCACGAAGUUGGAGUUGCUAGUAAUCGCAGAUCAGAAUGCUGCGGUGAAUGCGUUCCCGGGUCUUGUACACACCGCCCGUCACACCAUGGGAGCCGGUAAUACCCGAAGUCAGUAGUCCAACCUCGUGAGGACGCUGCCGAAGGUAGGAUUGGCGACUGGGGUGAAGUCGUAACAAGGUACC
rnacentral:rRNA from 1 species